UAGAGAAGAGGCUGCCACGAACGCAU
rnacentral:piRNA from 1 species